rnacentral:rRNA from 1 species
CGAAAGCCUGACGGAGCAAUACCGCGUGAGGGAGGAAGGUUCUUGGAUUGUAAACCUCUUUUCUUAGGGAAGAAGUACUGACGGUACCUAAGGAAUAAGCAUCGGCUAACUCCGUGCCAGCAGCCGCGGUAAUACGGAGGAUGCAAGCGUUAUCCGGAAUUAUUGGGCGUAAAGCGUCCGCAGGUGGUUUUUCAAGUCUGCUGUUAAAGACUGGAGCUCAACUCCGGAAAGGCAGUGGAAACUGAGAAACUAGAGUUCGGUAGGGGUAGCGGGAAUUCCCAGUGUAGCGGUGAAAUGCGUAGAUAUUGGGAAGAACACCAGUGGCGAAGGCGCUCAACUGGGCCGUAACUGACACUCAGGGACGAAAGCUAGGGUAGCG